AGAAAGACUUUAAUUUAGUUAUUAUUUUAAAAUUUUGGAAGUCACUUUUAUUAAUAUAAGAAAUAAGAGCUUGAUAUGUAUUUUAAGUGAGUAGCAAAUGAUUUUGUCCUGUUGUAAAACAAGAGAAUAAAAUCUAUGUUUCUGUAUUAUUCAUAAACAUAAGGAGCCCUUUAUAUAUAGGGAAUUACACCGUCAUAGAAUAAUGGAAAGACUAAAGAAAAGAAAUACGAAAUAGUACAAAUCAUAAUCUAAUAAGGAAAAUGCAAGAUGCCGAUUCUCUCUCUCUCUCUCUCUCUCCUCACGGUCGACUCUC
rnacentral:lncRNA from 1 species